rnacentral:lncRNA from 1 species
CCAUGAUGGCGGCUAAUGAGUGCGUUCUGUUUCUGUUCAAACGUGCCUGAUCAGGUUAUUUCCCGUCUGAAGUCGAGAUAAUUCUAACAUUCCUUGACAGUGAAAUGAUCUCCCUCAUUCAAGAACAAUGUGACUGGCAGCUAAAGAUCCUGGACCACUCCACUACUAGUGAAAUGCUGGAAUGUGCAAAGUUGAACAUUUUUAAACAAGGUUUUUCUAUAAUUCACUGAUAUGGCAAUGGCAAUGGCUUGCACAAAAGUUGGAACAGUAAAGCACACAAGAGGUCUGUGAGGGGGUGAACCUUCUAAGAUCUCUUACCAGGUCAUUGCACCCUUUCCAUAGCUUUAAUGAGAGCCAGAUUUCGGGCCAGUACAUGCUUUCAGAUACACAUUGUUUUGUUAUUGUCUUGUGCAUGAACUCAGCAGUAAGAAUCCUUUAAUUCUUUCUAAAUAGGUCAUUCUUAGAAUAAGGUGGAAGCCAAAUGCAAAAAUAAGUCUACUGUACAAGUUGAACUUUGGAAUGUCUUGAUAAAUAUCUAUGUGACGCUAAUCAAGGCUCUUUCAUUCUUGAUUUCUUUUGCAAAUGAUCUCAAGCAUUUAUUUCUGUCUUUUUCAAAACUUAGAAAGCUUGAGUUUAAUACAAAUGCCUUCAAAUUGCUGUGUGGUUAUACCACAAGUGAAGAUUGAUGAGGCAAAGAAUUAACUAAUUCCUGAAUACAAGAUCUUUGAAAUGGGCAUCCUUUUAAGUUAUGAGAGUUUGUGUUAAGUGACAUGAAAUGUUUCACCUGAAGCUUAUCAUAAAGUGAGAAGAGCUAUAGAAAAUAUAACCACUAGUAAAGUUACAAUAUCUACAUGUAAUAUAAAGGAACUCAAAGCCUAAAAAAUUCCUUGGAAGAUAGAUAUGAAGUGUUCCCUUAUUGACAAAUGGUUUUCUUUCUAAAAGCAAUUUUCUCAUGUCAGUCAUUGAUUGACUGUUUACUCUACUUUUGGUUUGUUUCUUCACUCAGGAGAUGUUGUUACAUGAUUACCAAUUCCAUGCAGAUGCUUUUUUUUUCAUCUUGAAAUUAGUUAUUGUCUAACAUUUACUAAAAGUUUGACAACGUAUUUAAGAACACUUGUUUAUCCUCUUCCAUUUGUACCACACCAUUGCCAAUUACUUCUAAGAAAGGUUUUGCCGAUCAAAAUGCUUAGACCUUGAUUAAUGUUCUUGUGACCUUGAUAAAUUAAGUUAUCCUGCAUAUUAGUUCUAUGGAAAUUUCUCAAAAUGACAGCUUUCAGUUAGUAUAUGUGCUAUGAAUUCAAGCUGGAGAUCCUCAGAUAUGAAGCUUUUCCACAAUAGAUCUACAAGUUAUAUUUCCCUCUGCAUGCAUAAUGUUGUAUAUAGUUUUAUAAAUAAUAUUGGAAUUGUAAUAAAGCAUAUUUUAUUUUAUUUUAACUUAUUUUCUCGAAGAUAUUAGCUCUACAGCUACACUGUGAAUUUCGAGCAUAAAUAAAGUAUAUGUAUGUAUGUAUGUAUAUGACUAGUCAAUUUAGUGUGCCAUAUUUCACUGUACAGCUGGUUAGAUUUAUAAUUUUUUUUGAAUUAAAAUCAUCCCCUUACAUUUGAACAUAGAGAUAUAAUAAAUAUAUUACUUACCUCAUUUUUUUGAUGUGUACUGGUAGUUAUGGAACUUAUCUCUUCUACUUUGCCCUUUGGCUAUAAAUCCAAAUGGGAAAAGCUUGACCCACAACUUACAGUAUGGACCUCGAACUUGGUUAGUAAGAGGUGUAUGAUUUUAAUUGUCUACAUCUUAAGUUCACAAAGAAAAUAAAGUGUUCAGCCAAUAGGACAAGAUGUGUCACAUACAGGGCUUUUAUGUUUUACAAUGAGGUAAAGAAAGACUUUGGCCAUAAUUGUCCAAUAUUUUUUAACUGUUCAGCUGUUAGUUUAUUUGACUUUUGAAUAAACAUUUUAUUGAAACUUUA